ACAGAGGGAUAGCCCAGAGAAAUUUGGAUUACUUUUUCAUAGCAUCAUGUUCCGGCAUCGGGAUAUGAUUAAAGUCACAACGGUGGAAGAUGAGCAUGCGUCCCAUUAGCUAGUUGGUAAGGUAACGGCUUACCAAGGCUACGAUGGGUAGGGGUCCUGAGAGGGAGAUCCCCCACACUGGUACUGAGACACGGACCAGACUCCUACGGGAGGCAGCAGUGAGGAAUAUUGGUCAAUGGACGCAAGUCUGAACCAGCCAUGCCGCGUGCAGGAUGACGGUCCUAUGGAUUGUAAACUGCUUUUGUACGGGAAGAAACACUCCUACGUGUAGGAGCUUGACGGUACCGUAAGAAUAAGGAUCGGCUAACUCCGUGCCAGCAGCCGCGGUAAUACGGAGGAUCCAAGCGUUAUCCGGAAUCAUUGGGUUUAAAGGGUCCGUAGGCGGUUUGGUAAGUCAGUGGUGAAAGCCCAUCGCUCAACGGUGGAACGGCCAUUGAUACUGCCGAACUUGAAUUAUUGGGAAGUAACUAGAAUAUGUAGUGUAGCGGUGAAAUGCUUACAGAUUACAUGGAAUACCAAUUGCGAAGGCAGGUUACUACCAAUGGAUUGACGCUGAUGGACGAAAGCGUGGGUAGCGAACAGGAUUAGAUACCCUGGUAGUCCACGCCGUAAACGAUGGAUACUAGCUGUUGGUGGCAACAUCAGUGGCUAAGCGAAAGUGAUAAGUAUCCCACCUGGGGAGUACGAACGCAAGUUUGAAACUCAAAGGAAUUGACGGGGGCCCGCACAAGCGGUGGAGCAUGUGGUUUAAUUCGAUGAUACGCGAGGAACCUUACCAAGGCUUAAAUGCAGACUGACCGAUUUGGAAACAGAUCUUUCGCAAGACAGUUUACAAGGUGCUGCAUGGUUGUCGUCAGCUCGUGCCGUGAGGUGUCAGGUUAAGUCCUAUAACGAGCGCAACCCCUGUUGUUAGUUGCCAGCGAGUAGUGUCGGGAACUCUAACAAGACUGCCAGUGCAAACUGUGAGGAAGGUGGGGAUGACGUCAAAUCAUCACGGCCCUUACGCCUUGGGCUACACACGUGCUACAAUGGCCGGUACAGAGAGCAGCCACCCCGCGAGGGGGAGCGAAUCUAUAAAGCCGGUCACAGUUCGGAUCGGAGUCUGCAACUCGACUCCGGAAGCUGGAAUCG
rnacentral:rRNA from 1 species